rnacentral:rRNA from 1 species
UACGGAGGAUGCAAGCGUUAUCCGGAAUGAUUGGGCGUAAAGCGUCCGCAGGUGGCAAUGUAAGUCUGCUGUCAAAGACCGGGGCUUAACUUCGGAAAGGCAGUGGAAACUGAACAGCUAGAGUAUGGUAGGGGCAGAGGGAAUUCCUGGUGUAGCGGUGAAAUGCGUAGAGAUCAGGAAGAACAUCGGUGGCGAAGGCGCUCUGCUGGACCAUAACUGACACUCAGGGACGAAAGCUAGGGGAGCGAAUGGG